GUCACCGUAAAGAAGUGUGUUUGUUAUCUCUUCCAUGAAACCUAUUUCUCCUUCUUCUUUUUUUUCUUCUUCUGCUACUACGAUUCUUCUCUUCGCCCGCGAAAAAACUCUAAAUUUUGAGAUUUGAGGAAAAGAAGAAGAAGGAACAAGAUCGUUAGGUCAAGUGAUCGCAGAGUCCUCAAUAUCUUCAGGUGUUUUUGGAAAAAGAAAACUCCAGUUCUGGACCAUGGUCAGAUUAAGUUAAAUGACAAAUCCAUGGCUAAGAGGAGGACGAAAAGUCUGGAAUUCCCCUCAUUACUCAUUCAAGUUGGAAAAUUUGAUCUUUCUCACAGUGAGUGGUGAAGUUGAUACCUUGAAAGUGGUUACUGACGAAGAAAAUGGUGUUAUUAUGGGAGCUUCAGGUCUGUUGAAACUAGAAAAAUUUGAUCAGGUAAAGACUCAAAAAUAUACUGAAAUACGAUCAGAGAUAGUUGGAACUCAAGUUGAUGCUUCUUAGUUGUGAACGUGUUUUUUGAAAGUUAGCGGUGGUUGUUUGAUCUGGAUGGAAGCCCGUUGUAGUAUGCUUGAACAUAGGCUUCUCUAGGAUUGUACUUGGCAUGGCCAAUUCAUCUCGGCAUUUUCACAUUUCCAGUUUUAAAGUUUUUUGGGAGAAGAUCUUAGUCCCACAUCAUGUAACUGUCUGUCACUGUUUUUUGCGUGUACUAUUCCAGUAGCUGCAAAUCCAUUAUCAUUUAACCGCCAUGUGCAUCUACUUAAUUACAUUCAUUUCGGAGAACAUGUUAAAUUCGUCACUGUUUUUUGCGUGAACUAUUCCAGUAGCUGCAAAUCCAUUAUCAUUUAACCUCCAUGUGCAUCUACUUAAUUACAUUCGUUUCGGAGAACAUGUUAAAUAAAUUGAGUUAACGUUUCUACUUAAUGAUAUUUUGA